CCUACGGGAGGCAGCAGUGAGGAAUAUUGGUCAAUGGACGAGAGUCUGAACCAGCCAAGUAGCGUGAAGGAUGACUGCCCUAUGGGUUGUAAACUUCUUUUAUAUGGGAAUAAAAUGUUCCACGUGUGGGAUUUUGUAUGUACCAUAUGAAUAAGGAUCGGCUAACUCCGUGCCAGCAGCCGCGGUAAUACGGAGGAUCCGAGCGUUAUCCGGAUUUAUUGGGUUUAAAGGGAGCGUAGGUGGAUUGUUAAGUCAGUUGUGAAAGUUUGCGGCUCAACCGUAAAAUUGCAGUUGAAACUGGCAGUCUUGAGUACAGUAUAGGUGGGCGGAAUUCGUGGUGUAGCGGUGAAAUGCUUAGAUAUCACGAAGAACUCCGAUUGCGAAGGCAGUUCACUGGACUGCAACUGACACUGAGGCUCGAAAGUGUGGGUAUCAAACAGGAUUAGAUACCCCUGUAGUC
rnacentral:rRNA from 1 species